AAUACUUACGUACUUUUCCUUAAGUAUUACUUAAGUAAAGGAUCUGAAUACUACAACAAAGAAAUAAUAAUGAUAUGAUAUUAUGAGGGAGAAAGAAAAUAAAAAACAAGCUAUUAUGUGGUUGACGUUCAUGUUAUCCAACAAGAAUAAGCAUGAUUUGACAUGCUAUCUCUAGACUGAAAACUAUCUGUGAGCUUUCACUGUAACUGAUGACACUCGCAUUUUUGGGGCUGCCUUUAUGGGUUUGGCUAUCGGGUUAGACACAAAUCUACAGUAUGGUGUUCACACGCUUAGCCUCGCCAAACACUUGAAAGAUACAAUUACACCCACACAAAUUGACGGAGUCGUUCGCUUUAUGCAAUAUCAAAAUACAAGGAAAAACAAAUUCAGAAACUUGAGGGUUUUCAUGACAAUAUUAACCAGCACUAUUUCAUGACAUGGAAUCACAGAUUACACUGGGUGUGUGUGUGCGUGUGUGCAUACUUUCUCAGUAUUUCUUAAAUGACUAAGAGUUUGAAAAGGAAGCUGCCUGCCUGGUCAUCCAAACAGUGGAAACAAUGUUUGUGCGACCGCAGCGCUCCCCCCACCCACCCAUUAAAAUUCACUCCUUCCAAUCCCUACACUCGAAACUUAACUGCAACAAUAAUGAGGACGGAUUUCUGUCUUGUUUCUCGGCUACAUUUUUUAUUUCUGCUGAAGCUCCCCGCUCGCCGGCCAUCAUUUCACCUCCCUUUUCACCCCACAUUUUUAAGCUGCUUCCUUUUUUUAUCUCCAUUUUCCUCUCCGUUUCUCUCACAUUCCCUCCACAUCCCUCCAUCUCUGCUGGUACUGCUGACUCGUCUCUCCUGGGAUUGUGCCUGCUUUGAUUUGGAGCUCAGGUCGGAGCUCAGAAACCAUAGCUAAAACAAACACACUGCCUUGGCCACCUCUGCACACACACACACACACACACACACACACACACACACACACAACUAGCAUUGAUUACUCCUGUCUGCCAGAGGUAAGAAUAAAACCUAAAUGUGAGUGUGUGUGUGUGUGUGGGUGUGAGUGUGGGUGUGUGAAACGAAGAAGGUGAAGGAGGCAAGCUUUGACUACUUAUGUCGCAACUGUGAAUCACACGGACACCUCCUCCUCUACACACACACACACAACCUCUUUUGCUCUGGUUCUGAUUUACCAGUAGUAUGUCACCCUUCACCAGCACCAGCACCAGCCCCCCACUCCGUGUGUGUGUGUGUGUGUGUGUGUGUGUGUGUGUAUGUUGGGAAGGCUGCAGAGCUGCAUAAAGGGCUCUUUAUUCGAGUUGGACAGGGAGAGGAAAUCAGCUUUAGAAGUAAAAACAGAGGGAGCAAGAGAGAGAUGGAGACCACAGGGCUGCACAUCUGGAGUUAUUACAAGGCUUCCUCCUGCUUGCCAAGAAAACGCCGACAUUCCUGCCCUUGCUACAAAGACCAUGGAGCCUCUACUCUCCUCCAGCCCCACUCCUACACACACAUCCAUCACACCAAAAACACAUAUACUCUCACAUGUACCAUAAGUAGAGAUGUGCACAUAGACUAGAUAGAAGGGAAGGACAUGCAGACGCUUUACGAAACACUUAUGCCUCCACGUGAGCACACAAACGCAGACAUCCUCCCAUCUGCCCACAUACGCUUCCACUAAAAAGUUCCCUCCCUCUGCAGCCAAUCCUUCACUCCCUUUCCAAACUUUACAACACACACGCCAAAUGAAUGUGUCUCACUUCCUGUUCACCUUUGACCUUCCACUUUCUCCCCAAAAGCCAGAGAAGACAGAAAGAACAGAGGGGGGAAAAAGCCAGACAGAGGGAGGGGAGAGAGGAAGAAGAGAGGAGAGGAAAAAUGGGGGGCCAUCGAGCUCCUCCUCCUUCUCUCUCCAUAUCUCCUCUCUCUCUCGUUCCUUUUUCUCCUUCUGUCUCUUGAAGGGGAAACUUGAUGGCCAGUCCUUUGCCACGUCGAGCCUCCAGCCGGUCCACCUUGCUUGCCACCGGGGCGUUUUUUUUUUUUGCUCCGGGAAGUUUCGGUAGACAAAUCCAAACGACGCAGAAGUAGCGUUUGAACACGAUCAGCCUGAUUUUGCCUCAACAGUGCGGCAGUGUUGAAUGAAAGGAUGUCGGGAAAUGAAUUGGGGCUAACCAGUCAAGAAGGAGACAAAACAAAUAUCAGCCAAGAAGAAGAGAAGCAGCAAGACAGCAAGAUAUGUAGAUGAGAAGGGCGAUUGUCAAGUUACAGAGUUCAGUCUGGAAUGCUGCUUCUCACAGCAGGAAACAGGAGGGCAAACAGGAGGGAAUGUCAUUGAAUCUGCCAAUCAGUGGCUAUCACAUCUGUUUAACCUCUCCUCCUCGUCCUCCUCCUCCUUCACCUCUCUGCCGGCCCCUUCAUCCAUCCCACACACGCUGUUUCUCCUCCAGCCCGCACAAUCAGCCUGAUCAGCACUUUGUAGCAGUCAGACUAUGAGAGCAGAAGGAGCUGGACUCUGAUACUGGAAUCACAGUGAGUAUAAUUUAGUUAGUUUAGAGUGUGUGUGAAUGAAUCUGAUAGCAUCUUCAUACUGAAAGCGUGAGCUUCUCUGUGGUGGCAUCAGUAAAACCUUCUCCACAGCAUCCUUCAGCCGCCCAGCCCGCCUGCCCAGUGUUCAGACUACCUGUUCAGGAAGUAGUGGUUGUACAGUAGUCUGCACAUUGGUUAGGCUGGCCGGGGAAGCACGGGACAACUCACAGUGUCUGAAAGUGGAACAAGAAAGAGCUCCAGAGGGCAUCCAUCAGGCACAAGCAAAUCAGGCUGUGGGAACACCCAGCACCACCCUUCGUCCAUCUGGACAAGCCCGGGCACAAGCCUAAAUAAAGCACCCAAAGGCUCCACCACAGAGGCCUGGCCCUUGCCUAUCUUGGAUUUAUGAGUGAUGGAUACAUAAGGUCAAACAUUUUUUUUGCUGUAUAUAGUUUUUUGCAUUGUUUGAUUUGUCAAUGAACCAAGAGUGAAAUCUGAUGAAGAUAAAACUGUUAAAUUUGUUUGAAAUACUUGAAAUAAAGAUGCUUAGAUAUCUACUAUUGA